rnacentral:rRNA from 1 species
CUAUGCGCCUUGCCAGCCCGCUCAGGUGUGCCAGCCGCCGCGGUAAUACGUAGGUGGCAAGCGUUGUCCGGAUUUAUUGGGCGUAAAGCGAGUGCAGGCGGUUCAAUAAGUCUGAUGUGAAAGCCUUCGGCUCAACCGGAGAAUUGCAUCAGAAACUGUUGAACUUGAGUGCAGAAGAGGAGAGUGGAACUCCAUGUGUAGCGGUGGAAUGCGUAGAUAUAUGGAAGAACACCAGUGGCGAAGGCGGCUCUCUGGUCUGCAACUGACGCUGAGGCUCGAAAGCAUGGGUAGCGAACAGG